GUGGCUGGUUCUGCGGCGUGCGGCCAGCCAUGGAGCGCUCUGGGCCCAGCGAAGUGACAGGCUCAGACGCAUCGGGACCGGACCCGCAGCUUGCGGUCACCAUGGGCUUCACGGGGUUCGGUAAAAAAGCUCGCACAUUUGACUUGGAAGCAAUGUUUGAACAAACUCGAAGAACAGCUGUGGAAAGAAGUUGCAAAACACUGGGGCUGGUGAAUUACCAGAUCUCCGUCAAGUGCAGUAACCAGUUCAAGUUGGAAGUGUGUCUUUUGAAAUCAGAAAACAAAGUCGUGGACAACCAGGCUGGGACCCAGGGCCAGCUGAAGGUGCUGGGUGCCAACCUCUGGUGGCCGUACCUGAUGCACGAACACCCCGCCUACCUGUACUCGUGGGAGGAUGGUGAUUGCUCACACCAAAGCCUUGGACCCCUCCCAGCCUGUGACCUUUGUGACCAACUCCACCUACGCAGCAGACAAGGGGGCUCUGUAUGUGGAUGUGAUCCGUGUGAACAGCUACUACUCUUGGUAUCGCAACUACGGGCACCUGGAGUUGAUUCAGCUGCAGCUGGCCGCCCAGUUUGAGAACUGGUGUAAGACAUCACAAUCCCAUUAUUCAGAGCGUGUAUGGAGUGGAAACGCUUGUAGGGUUUCACCAGAUUCAGAAGGAACCAAGCUGCUGCUUCUACAUGUUGCUGAGAAAUCUGCUGGGUUAAAUGUCCAAUUUCACUGCACACAAGUUCCACCUUCCGCAAAACACAAGAGCAUGAAUACAAUUCAAAAAAGUUUGUUUCCACUUUUCAACAUGGAUUGCUUUUGCUCCAUUUUCCAAUAACAUAUUCAUUUCCAUUUGAGACUCCAACAGAAUGACCUUUACUGUCCAUAUUUUAUCAAUAUUCUGUUCAUGAUUAUUUAAUUAUUUUCUGAGAAGACAGCGUUUUCUUCUAUAUUUCUUUCCGAGCCCUCACGAGAAUUGGCUUUUAAAUUUUUUCCACAGUAAUCUAGCAUUUUGCAUAAAACCUCAUCAAUCUCUGCCAAUCACUGAGCCCAAAACCAUUUUCACUUUGUUUUAGGUAUUUAUAAUAACAGCACUCCCACUUCUCAUGAUCAAUUUCCAUCUUCAGCAGUUCAGGCUGCUUUAAUAAAGUUCCAUAACCUGAGUGGCUUUUAAAUAACGGAAUGCACAUCUCACAGUUCUGGAGGCUGGAAGUCCAACAGCAGAGAGCCAGCAUAAUUGGGUUCUGGUGAGAGAGCUCUCUUGGGUUUCAGACUGCUGCCUUCUCAAUGCAGCUUCACAUGGUGGACAGAAAGAGCUCUCAAGAGUCAUUUUUAAGGGACUAUAGUUUACACUAAUCUGUUGUAUGUUUCAAAAUAGCUAGAAGAUAUAGCUAUAGUUUGUGUCUACCAUAAGGCAAAGAAAUUUAUUUGAGAUGAUUGGCUACCCCAGUUAUACUGAUUUCAUCUUUACAAAUUAUAUCGUUGUAUUAAAUUACCACAUAUACUCUCAAAAUAUGUACAUCUAUUACUAUAUAUUAAUGAAAUAAAUUAAAAAGUUGAGAAAUAAUAGAAAACAAAUCUUAUGCUUCAAACAUCUUUAUUAAAAGAUACAGUUGUUAAUAUUUUAAAAAUUUUAGUUUAUACAAAUCUAAAAUUUUAUGCAUUAGACAUAGAACAGAAAAUCAGUCAGGUUAAUAAAAUUUAAUAUAGAAAUUUUUGCAUAUAUAUUGCUGCUUUAGCUUAUGUAAACUUUAUGAUGGCCAACAAAAGAGCAAGAUGGAUCAGACACAUCAGAUUUAAUUGUUUUAACUGAAAGUGACAAAUAUUACUUUCACUCACGGUCCAUUAGCCAAACCUAGUCACAUGGCCAACAUCACUGCAAGGAAAACUACAGGGUCAAAAUCCCUUGGUCCACCAACGAGAGUAGAAGAGCUGAGUCUUUCUGAGAGACAAAUGAGAUAACAUAUUGAAACACUUAGUAAUAUCUGUUUUUAUCUCAUUAUUACUGUUAAUUGCACUUGUUUUAGGUGUGUCUCUCUCAGUUCUUUUUACUGUUAGUAUAUCUGGAGUUAGAACGUGUUGAUUCUACAAUAUCCUAGUCAUUUAAAUAAAAAUGGUUGGGAAGAAAAA
ensembl:lncRNA GUSBP1 GUSB pseudogene 1